rnacentral:lncRNA from 10 species
CCUGCACACGCACUCUUGCCUGCCACCGUGUAAUAUGCCUCUGCUCUUCCUUCAUCUUCUGCCAUGAUUGUGAGGCCUCCCCAGCCACGUGGAACUAAAGCCUUCCGGAGAAUGUACUUGGAGCUCCUAAUAAGAUAUCUCGGGCCAAGGAAAAUGUCACAUUUCUUUGCUCUUGGCAGGAAUCCCAGCUCCUUGGCUUGGGAGCACCCUUUCUCCCAUGCUGAACAGAAACUUCAUUUGGCCAUUAUGUUCAUUGCCAAUUAAUAAAUUAUAGGAGAACAAAUUAAUUUACUUAUCACUUGCAGCUUUGGAGAAAAACUCGUUCAAAGCAGGGAAAGUGGGGUGAUAAAAAGAUCCCUGCAGGAAAAACGUUGGGGAUCCCCGGGGCCACUUACAUGUUGGGUCUGAGUGGGUGAAAUCACUCUUCAUUACAAAGCUCUCAGAGGAUCCGCAGCAGGGGCACCUCGUCCACAACCCCCGCCCCCCUGCCCCCAGCUGGCCUCCAAAGAUUGUGGUGAGGUUCCAAAUGAGGUGACAACAUUGGAA